rnacentral:rRNA from 1 species
CACGUAGGGACCAAGCGUUGUCCGGAUUCAUUGGGCGUAAAAGAGCUCGUAGGCGGUUCGAUAAGUCGGGUGUGAAACCUCCAGGCUCAACCUGGAGACGCCACCCGAUACUGUCGUGACUAGAGUCCAGUAGGGGAGCGUGGAAUUCCUGGUGUAGCGGUGAAAUGCGCAGAUAUCAGGAGGAACACCAGCGGCGAAGGCGGCGCUCUGGGCUGGAACUGACGCUGAGGAGCGAAAGCGUGGGGAGCGAACAGG